rnacentral:tRNA from 1 species
UGGCUUGUAACUCAAAGGAUUAGAGUCCGUGGCUACGAACCACGAUGCCGAGGGUUCGAAUCCCUCCUUGCCCA